rnacentral:rRNA from 1 species
AGAGAGAGACAUGCGCGCAUAUCAAUAAGCGGAGGAAAAGAAACUAACUAAGGAUUCCCUCAGUAACGGCGAGUGAAGCGGGAAGAGCUCAAAUUUGAAAUCUUCAAGGUUCUACCUUGACGAAUUGUAGUUUAAAGAAGUGUUUUCUGUUGAAGUUUUGGUAAAAGUUCUUUGGAAUAGGACAUCAUAGAGGGUGAGAAUCCCGUAUUUGACCAUUAUUUCCAGCUGUGUGAUACACUUUCAAAGAGUCGGAUUGUUUGGGAAUGCAGUCCAAAAUGGGUGGUAAAUUUCAUCUAAAGCUAAAUAUUGGCGAGAGACCGAUAGCGAACAAGUACCGUGAGGGAAAGAUGAAAAGAACUUUGAAAAGAGAGUUAAACAGUACGUGAAAUUGUCAAAAGGGAAGCGUUUGACACCAGUGUUGUUUUCUCGAAAAUCAAUUAAAAAAGGCAGGAUUUUGUGUUGUAUUGACUUUAUCAGCUUUCUGCACUCUUUUCUUGUCUUUUUUAAUGCACUUUUCGUUUAACAAGUCAACAUCAAUUUCUUUUGUUGUAAAAGGGUCAUUGGAAGGUGGCUUUCUUUUCGGAGAAAGUGUUUAUAGCCUUUGGCCUCUGCAAUCGGAGAGAUUGAGGUCUGCAGCGUAGAUCCUUCGGGGUUAGAUACAUUUGUGCUAAGUUAUAGCCUUUCAUAGACAACUUGUUGACUAUGAUCAGUCAUGUAGCUUACUCGCUUAUGCUAUUUUACCUACGCUUAGGAUGUUGAUGUGAUACUGCGAGCA